UAUUAUCAUUAUUGUUAUGUAGUUGAAUAAAACAAAUCAGCAAUAUGUUUAGUAUAGCUUUAUUUCAAUAUUUGAUAGUAUUUAUAUGGACGUCAUCACGUGACGUAAAUAAGUGAAUCAGUUUUUCGAAUGAACUGUGCAAAAAGGAACCAUUUCACGGAAAAGGAUCGAACUUCACAGUACUAAAUAUAAUGCCUGCGUCCCAGUGUUCAUACUGUCCAUCCUAAAUUCUAUGUGAUAUUAGUAAUUUUCAAUACUAUUUAGAGCAGAUAGGGUGGAUAGUAUGCACAUUGGGACGCAGGGAAUGAAUCAUUCUUUAGGAAAUGGUUCUCUUCAGUGAAUCGAUCAAACGGCUCGGCAACCGGUUUGAAUCGUUUCGCUAUUCAGGGUGAUUUAACUGAGACGGUUCACUUCAUAUUUUUGAAGCGGUUUCUCAGUCGGCAAACGUAGUAGAAAACUUCGAGAAAGACAAAAAAAGCAUAUAAAAAGCAUACUGAACUCUAUACAAUCUUCUUGAACGCAAACCUGCAAGUUCGUCCUUUAGUUUUUCCAGCGAUGAAGAUUCAUUAUGACCAACACGUGCACGUGCGUCCCGAGAACCCCUCUUACUGCAGGCGUCUGCUGGUUGGAAGAAGUGGAAAGACAUGAUAAAUAGAGAAAGUGUGAUGCAGGUUUUGCAAAGAGGCUGUUACUGAAGGGUCAGGCAGAUAAAAACUAUACUGGACUUGAUUGAAAACCUCUAAAUAUCAGAUCACCUGGGAAGGAUGUCAGUACUAGAUAUAAACAAGGCCUAAAUCAGCACGAGAGAGAGAAACAUACGUUUUUGUAUCUGACAGAUGUUUUCAUACGCCCUGAUCCCUAAUCCAAUCUUCUCUUCAGUACCUCUUCCUCACCCCAAAUUUUUGUCUCGGCUCAUCUCUCAGAAUCACAUCCACACAUGGCCGAUCCCCAUCAUUAUCCAAUCACAUCCAUCCACCGCCCUCCGUGUCAACGGCAAUACAAUCAGCACCAUAUGGUAGCCACAUUCGCGAGACCCCCGCACUUCCUGAUCGCUUCCUUUCGGGAGGCGGCGCUGAGCAGAAGUGAGGGGAGAUGUAAUCAGACGUUUGGCAGAAUCUGCAGCAAUCAGGCACGCCAUCAGACGCUUUCUGGUCCUUGGCCACCAGGGCUUAAGGGUAUCUGGGGUGUGUGCGGGUAACAUCAAAGUUCCUGGAUAAGAGAAAGAGUUGGAGAGAGAGGAGAUUACAUGGAUUAGGACGGAGGGGGAAGGAAUAAUGUAAUUAAACACUUGUCGAGAUUUUAUUCCACCCUGUAGACAUGAGAGAGACUCUGUAGGGGCUGAUAUGCUGAUUAUAACUCACACUGCUCCAAAUUUGUUGACAGAAUACCGUGUGUUGGGCAUUUGCCCUGGGAGCGACUCUUAAUGCCGUCAUAUUAGAAAGAAAGAUGGAGUGUUAUAGUGGCAUAAAUGUAGCGAGACAAAGAAAUUGCAUUCCUUCUGAGUUGCGCACACAAUUUCUGUCUUUCAGCACCCUCUGUAAUGUUAAUGGCCGCCCGUCUGUUGGACGCUACCUUUGUGUUCCAGCUCAAGCGAGGAUGUGAUGUCAUCGGGGCUUUUGUGUGUCUAAUCCAGUGCAAACAUUAGAUGUCUACAGUGCUGAUGUAUGAGUGUGCAUAGUACAGAAACUCAAGUAUGCAGAGCAAAUGCAUCUCACAUACAAUGGCGCUCAUUGAUCAGCUGGAAAGAACCAUAUAUUAUAGAUUUUUUUUUUUUAAUACAGUCUUUGCUUAGCAGCUCUGUAUUGAAAGUCUUCUGCUACUCUUUAUCUACAUACAGCCUCCAUUCAAGCUUUAUUUUGCUGAUAAGUUCCUAGAUGGUUUAUCUGUUUUCAUAAUUUGUUGCAGACCCUGGAC
ensembl:lncRNA